rnacentral:rRNA from 1 species
GAACGAACGCUGGCGGCGUACUUAACACAUGCAAGUCGGACGAGAAAGGAGACUUCGGUCUCUGAGUACAGUGGCGCACGGGUGCGUAACACGUAAGUAACCUACCCCCGAACUCUGGGAUAACCCUCCGAAAGGAGGGCUAAUACUGGAUAGGGUCCCCGAGGUGUAGGCCGCGGGGGGAAAACGGGCCUCUGUUUCAUGCUCGUGGUUUGGGAUGAGCUUGCGGCCCAUUAGCUGGUUGGUAGGGUAACGGCCUACCAAGGCAACGAUGGGUGGCUGCUCUGAGAGGAUGAUCAGCCACACUGGCACUGAGACACGGGCCAGACUCCUACGGGAGGCAGCAGUGGGGAAUUUUGCGCAAUGGGCGAAAGCCUGAUGCAGCGACGCCGCGUGAGGGAUGACGGCCUUCGGGUUGUAAACCUCUUUCAGUAUCGACGAAGCGCAAGUGACGGUAGAUACAGAAGAAGCACCGGCCAACUACGUGCCAGCAGCCGCGGUAAUACGUAGGGUGCGAGCGUUGUCCGGAAUUACUGGGCGUAAAGAGCUCGUAGGUGGUUUGUCGCGUUGUUCGUGAAAACUCACAGCUUAACUGUGGGCGUGCGGGCGAUACGGGCAGACUGGAGUACUGCAGGGGAGACUGGAAUUCCUGGUGUAGCGGUGGAAUGCGCAGAUAUCAGGAGGAACACCGGUGGCGAAGGCGGGUCUCUGGGCAGUAACUGACGCUGAGGAGCGAAAGCGUGGGGAGCGAACAGGAUUAGAUACCCUGGUAGUCCACGCCGUAAACGGUGGGUACUAGGUGUGGGUUUCCUUCCUUGGGAUCCGUGCCGUAGCUAACGCAUUAAGUACCCCGCCUGGGGAGUACGGCCGCAAGGCUAAAACUCAAAGGAAUUGACGGGGGCCCGCACAAGCGGCGGAGCAUGUGGAUUAAUUCGAUGCAACGCGAAGAACCUUACCUGGGUUUGACAUGCACAGGACGCCGGCAGAGAUGUCGGUUCCCUUGUGGCCUGUGUGCAGGUGGUGCAUGGCUGUCGUCAGCUCGUGUCGUGAGAUGUUGGGUUAAGUCCCGCAACGAGCGCAACCCUUGUCUCAUGUUGCCAGCACGUUAUGGUGGGGACUCGUGAGAGACUGCCGGGGUCAACUCGGAGGAAGGUGGGGAUGACGUCAAGUCAUCAUGCCCCUUAUGUCCAGGGCUUCACACAUGCUACAAUGGCCGGUACAAAGGGCUGCGAUGCCGUGAGGUGGAGCGAAUCCUUUCAAAGCCGGUCUCAGUUCGGAUCGGGGUCUGCAACUCGACCCCGGAAGUCGGAGUCGCUAGUAAUCGCAGAUCAGCAACGCUGCGGUGAAUACUUCCCGGG